rnacentral:rRNA from 1 species
AUUGAACGCUGGCGGCAGGCUUAACACAUGCAAGUCGAGCGAGCGGCGGACGGGUGAGUAAUGUCUGGGAAACUGCCCGAUGGCGGGGGAUAACUACUGGAAACGGUAGCUAAUACCGCAUACUAUCAGAUGCGCCCAGAUGGGAUUAGCUAGUAGGUGGGUUAAAGGCUCCCCUAGGCGACGAUCCCUAGCUGGUCUGAGAGGAUGACCAGCCACACUGGAACUGAGAAACGGUCCAUACGCCUACGGGAGGUAGCAGUGGGGAAUAUUGCCCAAGGGGCGCAAGCCUGAUGCAGCCGGGCCGCGGGUAUGAAGAAGGCCUUCGGGUUGUAAAUUACUUUCAGUCGGGAGGCGUUACCGACAGAAGAAGCACCGGCUAACUCCGUGCCAGCAGCCGCGGUAAUUC